AAAAAUUUGCAACCAAAUUAAAUACUUCUCAGAUUCACUGAGAUGGCUCCCAGUCGUAAUCUCUCUAUCUCUCUCUUUGCCAUCGUCUCUGUUUCCUUUUCGUCGUUCAUGUUCGGCUCCCUAAAUACCUCUCUGAUUCGAGCAAGAACCCUAAUUCAUGAUUUGAUUUAUGAUUCAUAUCGAGAUGGUAUUAAACAGAAACCUACUUCAUCACAUCUCUCGUCCUCUAAAGUCGUCCCCUUUUCUUCUUCCUCUCAGGCCCUUCUCUGUCAAAUGGAGAAGAACAAAGCCAAGAACGGUUCAAAGUCUUCUCCUUCCGAGUUCAACUAGAGAAGAGCUGAUUGUUUUGGCGAAACUGGUAAGAACAAGAAGAACCUCGAAAGAAAAACACGCAAAUUCAAUCCCAACACUACUGCUUACGCACAGGUCCUUGGAACGGGAAUGGCUACACAAGAUACUUUGUCAUGUAUUACUCUUCUUUGAUAAAUAAAGAUUCAUCUUAAAUGCUAGAGAGGGCUUGCAACGUUUUUGUUUCUCUAUGCUUGUGUUGUUUUGAGUUUGAAGUUUGGUGUUUAUUAUUGAAAUCAGAUAGAUCAUGUGUUUUGUCUCGUGUCUGCUCAGAGACUGCAGGUGGACAAGAGUAGAGGUGUGCUUCGAUUGUAGUGCAAAGAAUCCAACAUGGGCUUCGGUUACUUACAGCGUAUUUCUCUGCAUCGAUUGCUCAAGCCAUGGCUGAAGAAGCUCCUUUGCCUUCAUUUGUUGCUACUUCUCAGCCAGUAGAAUCAUAUGAGCCUCCUGCAAAAGAGAGUCUUUGGUUAUUAAGCAAAAGAGGCAACUGUUGCUCAGUCUUCUUCACCAAAAGCUUCUCAGGGAGCUGUGGCUAGUUAAUUCUAUAUGGAAACAGCGACGCUGAGCCUGUAGCUGAAGCUUGUGCCCAGCUGACUCAAGAGUUCUUUAAGGGUGAUACUCUCUGCUGCUUGAUCACUUCACUUCAGUAUUUGAACUUAAAGGCAAGGAAAGAUGCUACAUUCAACAGCUGAGAGAGGGUGUGCAAAUCAUGGAGAUUCAAAUUCAGAUAUAUCAGCUGGUGGUUUAGAGGAAACUGUUGUAUGACUAUGAGAGAAGUUGAAGCUUUUCAGAAGGUUCACAGUGAAGUUGAUGAGCUUUAUAGCCAGCAAAGAGAGUGUGUUCUAGCGUUGAGUUUUAUAUUUACUGUUUUUGUGAGUAUGACAAAGAGGAUACAAAUUUAUUCUUCCAAAAAAAGAGGAUACAAGUCUGAGAUUAAUUAUUGAUCUUUAGAUCAAAUGUUAAUCUAGGGUUUUAAAUGAAAAUUGGAGUUUGUAAUUUAUUGCAUGUUUAAGGUAAAAGUAAAG